rnacentral:rRNA from 1 species
GAGAUUCUCGAAUUGUCCCUAUCUACUUUCUAGCGAAACCACAGCCAAGGGAACGGGCUUGGAAAAAUCAGUGGGGAAAGAAGACCCUUUUGAGCUUGACACUAGUCUAGCAUUGUGGGAGGGCAUGCGGGGUGUAGCAUAAGUGGGAGUCGGGGAUCACGCGAGAUUCAUUGAGAAAUGUUUUUCGUGCCUCGACGACUUUGAAAUACCACUACUCGCAUCGUUUUCUUACUUACUCGGUAAUGCGGAACGCGUGCUGUAUGGUCCCGGUUUUGUUCGUUUUAGUGUUCGCUCUUCGGAGUGUUCCUAUUACGUAUCAAUUCCAUUGCGACCUUCAGUUACGAUGGAUUCCACGUCGUCUUAAGCGCGAUAUAGUUUGUCAGUACGGUUGUUUCGCUUCUUUGUGGUCUUCGGAUUGCAUGGAGUGUUUCAAUUUGGCAACAUUGCGUGAUCCGAUCCGAGGACAUUGUUAGGUGGGGUGUUUGACUGGGGCGGUACAUCUGUCAAAGAAUAACGCAGGUGUCCUAAGGCCAGCUCAGCGAGGACGGAAACCUCGCGUAGAGCAAAAGGGCAAAAGCUGGCUUGAUCCCGGACGCCCAGUACGCGUAGGGACUGCGAAAGCAUCGGCCUCUCGAUCCUCUCGUCUGCUGAAGAGUUUUCAGGGAGAGGUGUCAGAAAAGUUACCAGAGGGAUAACUGGCUGGUGGCGGCCAAGCGU